rnacentral:rRNA from 1 species
UACAUAGGGUGCGAGCGUUGUCCGGAAUUAUUGGGCGUAAAGAGCUCGUAGGCGGCUUGUCGCGUCGGAUGUGAAAGCCCGGGGCUUAACUCCGGGUCUGCAUUCGAUACGGGCAGGCUAGAGUUCGGUAGGGGAGAUCGGAAUUCCUGGUGUAGCGGUGAAAUGCGCAGAUAUCAGGAGGAACACCGGUGGCGAAGGCGGAUCUCUGGGCCGAUACUGACGUGAGGAGCGAAAGCGUGGGGAGCAAACAGG